AGUCAAUGCUCGCAAGAGUGAACUAGCUAACUGAAAUCAUAUGAGUCAUUAAUUGAUGGUGAUUAUGAUAACAUAAGGGAAAAAAAUGAUAUUACCUUAUUAUAAGUGUUGUCCAAAACUGGUGCCAGAAGACUCGGUAAGACCAGAGACGCAAACGUUAGUCAUCUUAAUCAGGCGUAAAGGGUUUGUAGGCUGCUUUAAAAUUUUAAAUCUUUGUAAUAGCUCUGUGACCGUAUUGCAACAUUCUAUUAUGGUAUAAACAAUAAACAAUUUUAAUUAAUUAAGAAACAAAAUAUAAAUUGUGAAAUCAAUAAAAAUGUAGUAUAUAAAAUUUAUUAUUUAAAAUAAAUGAUAUUAAUAACCAUGUCUCAGUAAAGAAAUAAAUGAAUUAAAGCUAGGAUCAAAUUGAGGAUAAACCAAAUAAUACUUAGAGUAGGGCUUAUAUCCGUAGAUACUAAGGGGAAUACUAAAGGUGAAAACUUUUUAUCUACUAUUGAUUGACGCUGAGAAACGAAGGUGAGAAUAGGAAAUAGGAUUAGAUACCCAGAUACCUCUCACUGUCAACGAUGAAUGGUGGUUUGUUAGUUUUAAUAAAAACUGGUAACGAUGUUAACAUGAUAACCAUUCCGCCUUGCGAGUACGGUUGCAAAA
rnacentral:rRNA from 1 species